AGGAGGGAAGGUGGAAGCUAAGAAGAAGAGUGGAGGAGAAAAGGAGACAAAGGAAGGUGGAAACGAGAGCUUUAAGAGUAAAGAGUUCAUCUCCAGCGAGGAGAGCUCGUCUGAAUCUGAUCACGACAGAGGCAGCAAACGCAAGGCUUCUGAUGAUGAUGAUGAGGAAGCCGCCUCCACACCCGCCAGCUCAGAGGAGGAGUCGGGAUCUGACUGAAGAUCACUGACAGCACAGAGACAUUUCCACAUCUCAGGUUUCAGUCAAUAACUGAUGCUUACUCGGACCAAGACUUUCUACUCAUUUCUACACCUAUUUUUCCAUUCAGACUGAGAACCUGGAAAUAGACGGGUAACAUUUUCCCCUCCUUUGAGAGUGUCAUCAGUAAAGCUCUCAGAUUUUAUUUUUUUUCAGUAGACAGACAUAAUUCAGGGAAGUGUGGGUAAGAUCUACUUGUAGAGGGUUUUGCCUUUUUCUCUAAAAUGAUAAGACUGCACUUCAGUAAAUGUUUUGGUUAUUUCGAUAACAUGUUUUGUACUUUAAGCUAUCAAAAUGUUCAUCACUGUUUUGCAAUAAAAGUUCAGUGAGUGA